CAAUUUAAUUGUCUCGUAAGUAAACCGUGAUCACGAAGGCGGUUCUUCAAGAGCCAAGGGUUUCCAUUGCACUAUGGUGGAAUUUGUGCGCGGACACAUAAGUAAAGUAGGACUAGGAGUGAUCAAC
rnacentral:snRNA from 1 species